UACAGAGGUCCCAAGCGUUGUUCGGAUUUAUUGGGCGUAAGGGGUGCGUAGGCGGUUGCCUAAGUCAGAUGUGAAAUCCCGGGGCUCAACCUCGGAACUGCAUUUGAUACUGGGUAACUUGAGUACUGGAGGGGAGACUGGAAUUUACGGUGUAGCAGUGAAAUGCGUAGAUAUCGUAAGGAAGACCAGUGGCGAAGGCGAGUCUCUGGACAGUUACUGACGCUGAGGCACGAAGGCCAGGGGAGCAAACGGG
rnacentral:rRNA from 1 species